rnacentral:rRNA from 1 species
CCUACGGGCGGCAGCAGUGAGGAAUAUUGGUCAAUGGGCGGGAGCCUGACCCAGCCAAGCCGCGUGAGGGAAGAAGGUACAGCGUAUCGUAAACUUCUUUUGUCAGGGAACAAAGGCGUGGACUAGUCCCCGGAUGAGGGUACCUGAAGAAAAAGCAUCGGCUAACUCCGUGCCAGCAGCCGCGGUAAUACGGAGGAUGCGAGCGUUAUCCGGAUGUAUUGGGGUUAAAGGGUGCGCAGGCGGCCUGUUAAGUCAGCGGUAAAAGCCCGGGGUUCAACCCCGGCGGGCCGUUGAAACUGGCAGGCUGGAGUUGGAGAGAGGUACGCAGAAUGCGCGGUGUAGCGGUGAAAUGCUUAGAUAUCGCGCAGAACCCCGAUUGCGAAGGCAGCGUACCGGCUCCACACUGACGCUGAGGCGCGAAAGCGUGGGUAUCGAACAGGAUUAGAUACCCGUGUAGUC